CUAGUUUGGCAUUGUAAGGCGAUAUAGGAGGUGCAGCAUAGGUGGGAGAGUCAGCCCUUUACCGGGUUGGCUCGCCUCUGAGAUACCACCACUCUUACUGUUGCCUUACUUACAUGAUCGGGUGGAACAAGCGCGGGCCCCAGGUCCGGGUCGUACCGCCCACUCCCUCGCCGGGGGUGUAAGCGUGUCGGCUCGCCUGAAGCUGCCCAAUGCGCCGUGUUUCUAGCUCCGCGUUCAGCAUGUCGCUGGGUGGUG
rnacentral:rRNA from 1 species